rnacentral:rRNA from 1 species
UCGUAUACAAUGGAGGUGCUCGGGCUGUCGCUGACCUCUAAAAAGGGUCGUGCACGCCCGGGGCACUCUCUCAUAUCCAUCUCACCCCUUUGUGCAUUGCCGCGUGGGUCCCCUGAAACAAAGGGGGACCUGCGUUUUUACAUACACACCCUUUGAACGCAUGUGUAGAACGUCUUAUGAUAUCAAUACAACUUUCAACAACGGAUCUCUUGGCUCUCGCAUCGAUGAAGAACGCAGCGAAAUGCGAUACGUAAUGUGAAUUGCAGAAUUCAGUGAAUCAUCGAAUCUUUGAACGCACCUUGCGCCCCUUGGUAUUCCGAGGGGCACACCCGUUUGAGUGUCGUGUAUACUUCUCAACCUUCUUGGUUUCUAUGACCAAAAAGGCUUGGACUUUGGAGGUUUUUCUUGCUGGCCUCUUUUGAAGCCAGCUCCUCCUAAAUGAAUGUGUGGGGUCUGCUUUGCUGAUCCUCGACGUGAUAAGCAUUUCUUCUACGUCGUGUCAGCUCGGGACCUGCUUUCUAACCGUCUUUGGAGACAAAGACCUUUUUACAAACCUUGACCUCAAAUCGGGUGAGACU